CGGCAAAAAAGCGUCCGUAACUUUGGAAUAAGGACUGCCUAGCCGGUGUUUCGCACUGGGAAUUCCAAUAAUUCUCAGUAUCAAUGUAAAAAUUUAUAUUGCACUUGGAGUAUCCAGUGCGAAGCAGCGGUUGGGCCGCAGCUAAAGACUUCAGGCGACUGUUUACCAAAAACUUAGGUCUCUGCUAACACGUAAGUGGAUGUAUAGGGGCUGAUGCUUGCCCAGUGCCAGUAGGUCAAGAGGAGAGGUUAGACUUCGGUCAAAGCUUUGAAUUUAAGCCCUGGUGAACGGCGGCCGUAACUAUAACGGUCCUAAGGUAGCGAAAUUCCUUGUCGGGUAAGUUCCGACCCGCACGAAUAGCAUAACGGUUCUGAAGACUGUCUCAACGAGGGACUCGGCGAAACUACAUUGCCGGUGAAGAUGCCGGAUUUCCGCAGCAAGACAAAAAGACCCCGUGGAGCUUUACUACAGCCUGAUGUUGGGUUAGGGAUUUGUUUGUGUAGGAUAGGUGGGAGACUUUGAAGCAGAGGCGCUAGCCUUUGUGGAGUCAUCCUUGAAAUACCACCCUGAUAAAUCUUUAAUUCUAACCUCUAACCGUUAUCCGGUGGAGGGACAGCGUUUGGUGGGUAGUUUAACUGGGGCGGUUG
rnacentral:rRNA from 1 species